rnacentral:rRNA from 1 species
GAGGAAUAUUGGUCAAUGGGCGAGAGCCUGAACCAGCCAAGUAGCGUGCAGGAAGACGGCCCUAUGGGUUGUAAACUGCUUUUAUGUGGGGAUAAAGUGAGCUACGUGUAGUUUAUUGCAGGUACCACAUGAAUAAGGACCGGCUAACUCCGUGCCAGCAGCCGCGGUAAUACGGAAGGUCCAGGCGUUAUCCGGAUUUAUUGGGUUUAAAGGGAGCGUAGGCCGUGGAUUAAGCGUGUUGUGAAAUGUAGACGCUCAACGUCUGAAUUGCAGCGCGAACUGGUUCACUUGAGUAUGCACAACGUAGGCGGAAUUCGUCGCGUAGCGGUGAAAUGCUUAGAUAUGACGAAGAACUCCGAUUGCGAAGGCAGCUUACGGGAGCACAACUGACGCUGAAGCUCGAAGGUGCGGGUAUCAAACAGGAUUAGAUACCCUGGUAGUCCGCACAGUAAACGAUGGAUGCCCGUUGUUAGUUCACUUAAGAAUUAGCGACCGAGCGAAAGCAUUAAGCAUCCCACCUGGGGAGUACGCCGGCAACGGUG